rnacentral:tRNA from 1 species
GGUCUGAUGGUCUAGGGGUAUGAUUCUCGCUUAGGGUGCGAGAGGUCCCGGGUUCAAAUCCCGGUCAGGCCC